rnacentral:precursor_RNA from 14 species
UACGCCGUGUAUUCGUUGCCAGCAUUGUUACGGGAUUUGAUUGAUCAGUUCAAGUGUUUUGUCUGAACUGGCCUUUUAAGUCCCGCAAUGUUGCUGGUGUUAUUCAGAAACAGAAAA